GACGUAGGGUGCAAGCGUUGUCCGGAAUUAUUGGGCGUAAAGAGCUUGUAGGCGGUUUGUCGCGUCUGCUGUGAAAAUCCGGGGCUCAACCCCGGACUUGCAGUGGGUACGGGCAGACUAGAGUGUGGUAGGGGAGACUGGAAUUCCUGGUGUAGCGGUGAAAUGCGCAGAUAUCAGGAGGAACACCGGUGGCGAAGGCGGGUCUCUGGGCCGAUACUGACGCUGAGGAGCGAAAGCGUGGGGAGCGAACAGG
rnacentral:rRNA from 1 species